rnacentral:rRNA from 1 species
UACGUAGGCAGCAAACGUUGUUCGGAAUUACUGGGCGUAAAGAGUGUGUAGGCGGCUUUGUAAGUUCUGUGUGAAAUCUCCCGGCUCAACUGGGAGGGUGCGCCGAAUACUGCAAGGCUUGAGUACUGGAGAGGAUAGCGGAAUUCCUGGUGUAGCGGUGAAAUGCGCAGAUAUCAGGAGGAACACCGGUGGCGAAGGCGGUUCUCUGGGCCUGUACUGACGUGAGGAACGAAAGCGUGGGUAGCAAACAGG